rnacentral:rRNA from 1 species
GACAGAGGUGCCAAGCGUUAGGCGGAAUCACUGGGCUUAAAGCGUGUGUAGGUGGACCUGUAAGUACCUUGUGAAAUCCCACGGCUCAACCGUGGAACUGCUUGGUAUACUGCGGGUCUUGAGCCACCUAGGGGCAAGUGGAACAAACGGUGGAGCGGUGAAAUGCGUAGAUAUCGUUUGGAACGCCAAUGGUGAAAACAACUUGCUGGGGGUGUGCUGACGCUGAGACACGAAAGCCAGGGGAGCAAACGGG